rnacentral:rRNA from 1 species
UACGUAGGCGGCAAGCGUUGUCCGGAUUCAUUGGGCGUAAAGAGCGUGUAGGCGGCCAGGUAGGUCGGUUGUGAAAACUGGAGGCUCAACCUUCAGAGGUCGACCGAAACCAUCUGGCUAGAGUCCGGGAGAGGAGAGUGGAAUUCCUGGUGUAGCGGUGAAAUGCGCAGAUAUCAGGAGGAACACCAAUAGCGAAGGCAGCUCGCUGGGACGGUACUGACGCUAAGGCGCGAAAGCGUGGGGAGCGAACAGG